AGCGAACGCUGGCGGCAGGCCUAACACAUGCAAGUCGAACGAACCCUUCGGGGUUAGUGGCGGACGGGUGAGUAACACGUGGGAACGUGCCUUUAGGUUCGGAAUACCUCAGGGAAACUUGUGCUAAUACCGAAUGUGCCCUUCGGGGGCAAGAUUUAUCGCCUUUAGAGCGGCCCGCGUCUGAUUAGCUAGUUGGUGAGGUAAAGGCUCACCAAGGCUACGAUCAGUAGCUGGUCUGAGAGGAUGACCAGCCACAUUGGGACUGAGACACGGCCCAAACUCCUACGGGAGGCAGCAGUGGGAAAUCUUGCGCAAUGGGCGAAAGCCUGACGCAGCCAUGCCGCGUGGAUGAUGAAGGUCUUAGGAUUGUAAAAUCCUUUCACCGGUGAAGAUAAUGACUGUAGCCGGAGAAGAAGCCCCGGCUAACUUCGUGCCAGCCGCCGCCGUAAUAC
rnacentral:rRNA from 1 species